rnacentral:rRNA from 1 species
AACGAACGCUGGCGGCAUGCCUAACACAUGCAAGUCGAACGAAGCCUUCGGGCUUAGUGGCGCACGGGUGCGUAACGCGUGGGAACCUACCAUCAGGUUCGGAAUAACAGUUAGAAAUGACUGCUAAUACCGGAUAAUGUCUUCGGACCAAAGAUUUAUCGCCUUUUGAUGGGCCCGCGUAAGAUUAGGUAGUUGGUGGGGUAAAGGCCUACCAAGCCGACGAUCUUUAGCUGGUCUGAGAGGAUGAUCAGCCACACUGGGACUGAGACACGGCCCAGACUCCUACGGGAGGCAGCAGUGGGGAAUAUUGGACAAUGGGCGAAAGCCUGAUCCAGCAAUGCCGCGUGAGUGAUGAAGGCCUUAGGGUUGUAAAGCUCUUUUACUGGGGAUGAUAAUGACAGUACCCAGAGAAUAGGCUCCGGCUAACUCCGUGCCAGCAGCCGC